CUUGGGUAAUAUUAUUUUUAGACAACAGAACUAUUUUUUCCAUUAAGAUUUUUUCUUCUCAUUUACGUAUUUUCAUUGCAAAUCAGAUGACACAAAAGGGUAUCUAAUACUCAUACAAAUAUCUUUAAUAUUCCUUGGUGCUUUACUACCACUGCAGCAAAAAUGUAGGAAAAUGUUUUCCUCGCAGACCAGAAAACCCUAACUCUUGCUGUUUGCUGGAACCAGAACUGGGAGCCUGUGGUCAGAUCGAGAUGUACCUGAAUAGAUGUAGGGCUUGGUGGAGACUUGUGUGGAAGACACUAAUUACCUCAAAGUGGCAACAAGAAUAUCAAAA
ensembl:lncRNA